CGAAAAUGCCCUCACUGUAUUCCCGACAAACGACGCACUCCCCCACCCCCGCUCCUCUCCCCGCCGGUUCCCCCUGCUCCUCUCCCUUGCCGGAGCACUCUGCUCGGCUCCCCAAGAAGCUUCUGCUCGCGUCGCCGGAGAUUCCCCGCGCAGCUCCCUGCUCUGCUCUCCCUCCUUGUUCCCCUCUUCCUCCGCCGCGUUGCUUCCCCGAGCGAGGAGAAGCCUCGAUUUUUCCGACCUCCUCCAACAGAAGCCGCAGCUGCCCCGCUCCACCACCGCCAACGCCGCCGCAACUGCCUCCUCCGCCGCUCUCUCCUGCUCGCGCAGCUCCAGCUUGCCUUCCUCUCCUAGCUUCCCCCCUCCCUAGUGACCUCCGCGCUCUGCUCCGGCUGCUUCAGAUCCGGCGCCGGCGAGGCUGAUAUGGUGGCUGCGAGGCCAGACGGCGAGAGACGUAGCCGACGAGCCCGACGACAGCAAGCUCGAUGGCGAGCUCGACGGCGGCGGAGACGUCUUCUGUACUGCGAGCUCCACCAUCCCUACACAUACUGUACUGCGAGCUCGACGACGACAGUGGCGUCUUCUUGGCAGGCAAAAUUCCUAACUGUUGGAGUAGCUUCGUCAUAAGCCUGAAAUGCAACUUGGUAAAUCUUGUCACCUGUGUAAAUUGUUUAGAAAUGUUCAUUCAGAGAAUUUGUUGGUACUCUUUGCUUGUGUUGAAUAACAAGAAGAUUUUUCCCAUUUUACUUGUGUUGAAUAACCUGUGAACAAAAUUCAGGUUCCAACAGAGCAUGCAUGACCUGUGAACAAAAUUCCCAUUUUACUUGGGUUCUGCAUGAUGUUGGGAAGAUGCAUAAUUCCGGUAUUCGUUUGUGCUGUGCAUUUUUAUCAAUAAAGUUUGCAUACUCCAUGUGUGUUCACUGAAUUUUCAUCAAUAUGCAGUGUAUGUCCACUUAUUUUGAUUUUGCAAUGAUCAUCAUCAUUCUCAGUUUUUGUAUAACAAGAAAUACUCCUGAAUUUCUUCAAUACUGGAGUACUGAAUGUUUUCAGUUUUUGCAAGAAAUAACAUUGGAGUAUGUUUCAGUUUUCACUUUUCUUCAACACUGAACACCUAUUGGAUGAUCUACACACUUAAUGCAUCAAUUUAGAGAGGACAAUUGGACAACAGGAGAACAAUUGGACAACAUCAUCAGGAGGUUAGCAACCAACACGAACUGCAACACGAAAUUUCAGGAUAAUCGGGAGGACAGCAACAAUAAAUUUCAGGAUCACAAAGAGUUCAGUGGAGGCGGGGGCGGGGACGGGGAUUGGAGUACCAACCGUCCGCAAUAGUGGUGGGGUGGGGGGAUCGGGGGCGUCGGCGUCGCCCACAAGCAGCAACGGUGGCAGUAGAGGCGUCCACCACCGCGACCACCACUAGCAGCCGGCGGCCAAGCGGACCAGCCUGGUGGCCGAAGCGGAUCAGCACGGCGCCGUUAGGCGGCGGAGUCGGGGCCGACAAGCUGUGUCUUGGGUGGCGAACUGGCGAUGGUCCUGCUCGUGGGUGGGCGACGAAGUUCCUGCCCGUGGCCGGUGGAGGUCCUCCGAGUGGGCGGCGGAGGUCCUGCUCGUGGGCGGCGGAAGUCCUGCUCGUCGGUGGGCUAGUUGGCCGGCUCCUGGGCGGUGUAGGAACUGCUCGUGGGCGGCGCAUGGCCUGCUAGAGGGCGUCGCAUGACCUGGUCGAGUGCGUGGAGGAGCAGAAGCCGCAGCUCUCCUCCGGCGGGUGGCGCAGGUGAGUAGAAGCGGAGGCGCAGGUGCACAGGGGCGCCGCAGGCGGGCGGCGGCGCAGGUGGGCAGGGGCGCUGCAACGGUGGCUGGGGCUGGGUGCCGACGCCCGACGGUGCUGCCGCGGGCGACGGGGGAUGGAGGAAGAAGGAGAGGGGGUAAUUAGUGUGAUGUUUAAAAGUGAGAGGUCCUUUUUGUAAAAAUGCCAAUGUACUACACCGUGGACAACUUUUUCGGGACGGAGGGAGUAACUCAAUACAACAAUUGUCCCGAAUACAACAAUGAUACCGAUCACACAUGAAUUAAGUAAAAUGAAUGUAAAAUUGGCCGGUGCCUUUGUCAA